rnacentral:rRNA from 1 species
UACGUAGGGUGCGAGCGUUGUCCGGAAUUAUUGGGCGUAAAGAGCUCGUAGGCGGUCUGUCGCGUCGAUCGUGAAAACUUGGGGCUUAACCCUGAGCUUGCGGUCGAUACGGGCAUGACUGGAGUUCGGCAGGGGAGACUGGAAUUCCUGGUGUAGCGGUGAAAUGCGCAGAUAUCAGGAGGAACACCGGUGGCGAAGGCGGCACUCUGGGCCGGAACUGACGCUGAGGAGCGAAAGCGUGGGGAGCGAACAGG